rnacentral:rRNA from 1 species
CUCAGCCAUGCCGCGUGUGUGAAGAAGGCCUUCGGGUUGUAAAGUACUUUUAGCAGGGAAGAAGGCCUGCCGGCUAAUACCCGUCGGAUUGACGUUCCCUGCAGAAUAACCACCGGCUAACUCCGUGCCAGCAGCCGCGGUAUACGGAGGGUGC